rnacentral:lncRNA from 1 species
GGCAGGUAGAGAAGACGGUUGUAAACAAGGGACCAGGACAGCCUAGGGAAACAGUCACAUGACAUCUGGAGGAGGGAAUGCACCUUACUAAAGCCAAGAAACACUAAGGAGGACACAUGACCAGCAGACGCCAAGGGUGAUUAACAACUGGACCUCAAUGACCAGGGUCAAAGGUGGCAAGUGACAGAUUAAACAGGUACAUCUCUCUCUCUUCUGCUUCUUGGGUUUCAUUACUUCAAAUCAAUACCAGCAAAGACACUCUCAAAAGUCAGGUAGGACCAGCUACAGCACUAGCAUAUCUAACAGAGGCCACCGAACAGAUAUAAAUGGAAGCAGUUUUGUAAUUAUCAAAUAAGUACACUUUUCCAGGGAGACAGGUGGGUCUCCCUCCACCCGGUUGCCUAUACCCCAUCUUUGGAAGGACAGAAGCAAUCAGGAACACUACUGCUUCCCCAAUAGUGAUGGAAUGCCUUCACCCUAAGCUGUUUGAAAGAGAGACAACGGAAGAGCUUGUAUCUGGUAACUUCACACUGUUUUCCCCCAAAGUCAGAGGGAGAAAGGAGCAGAAGAAAUCGCAAAUUGGCUUCUUUUUUUUCUUUCUUUCUUUUUCUAUUACAGCAUAAACAAAUCACUACAAACAGAAACUUAGAACAACAUGAAUUUAUAAGCUCACAGUUCUUCAGGUCAGAAAGUAGGUGUGGCUCUCCCUGGGCUAAGAAUGGCAGCGGUGCUUUCUAGCUUCUAGAAAGGCUUGGAUCCAUUAGCGCACGGCUCAUCUCUCAUCUUCAUCUUCCUGGUCAUGUUUCACUGGCGCAUCCCGUUCUCUGGGAGUACAGCAUGCGCGCACUCUCCCCUUUUGAGGAUCAAUGUAACUCGACUGAGA